GGGGCUGUGGCUCAGUGAUAGAGUGCAUGCCUUGCAUGUGUGAAACACUGGGUUCAAUCCUCAGCACCA
rnacentral:tRNA from 1 species